GAUGAACGCUGGCGGCGUGCCUAACACAUGCAAGUCGAACGAGAUGCGUAUCGGAAAGCUUCGGCCGGAAGAUACGUUAUCUAGUGGCGGACGGGUGAGUAACACGUGGGUAACCUGCCUUAUGGAGGGGGAUAACAGAGAGAAAUCACUGCUAAUACCGCAUAAGCACACAGUACCGCAUGGUACAGGGUGAAAAGAUUUAUCACCAUAAGAUGGACCCGCGUCUGAUUAGCCAGUUGGCAGGGUAAAAGCCUACCAAAGCAACGAUCAGUAGCCGAUCUGAGAGGAUGACCGGCCACAUUGGGACUGAGACACGGCCCAAACUCCUACGGGAGGCAGCAGUGGGGAAUAUUGCACAAUGGGGGAAACCCUGAUGCAGCGACGCCGCGUGAGUGAAGAAGUAUUUCGGUAUGUAAAGCUCUAUCAGCAGGGAAGAUAAUGACAGUACCUG
rnacentral:rRNA from 1 species